GUGCGAAAAGAGUCCCGAACCAAGUCCAGAGGGGGGCGGGCGCCCAGGUCAACUGGGCGGGCGCCCAGUGCCUGGCCCCGUUCGGCCUCCGCUUCCUUCCCGUGGCUUCUGGAGUCUUCUAGAUGGUAGAAAAUUGCGCGGUGCGUUGAUAUCUCUAUGUAAUCCCGACAUGUGGGCCUUUCUUCCUUAUUUUCUGAUAACCCCCU
rnacentral:lncRNA from 1 species